GACGAACGCUGGCGGCGUGCUUAACACAUGCAAGUCGAACGGAAAGGCCCUGCUUUUGUGGGGUGCUCGAGUGGCGAACGGGUGAGUAACACGUGAGUAACCUGCCCUUGACUUUGGGAUAACUUCAGGAAACUGGGGCUAAUACCGGAUAGGAGCUCCUGCUGCAUGGUGGGGGUUGGAAAGUUUCGGCGGUUGGGGAUGGACUCGCGGCUUAUCAGCUUGUUGGUGGGGUAGUGGCUUACCAAGGCUUUGACGGGUAGCCGGCCUGAGAGGGUGACCGGCCGAGGUGGGACGUGGAGGCGCGGCAGUCCACUGGGGGAGGGGGCAGGGGGGAAUAGGGCACGGGGGGCGGGAGACGGAGGCAGCGCGGCCGCGUGCGGGACGAGGGGCGUCGGUUUGUAAGCCGCUUUCGCCGUGGCGGGAGCGGGGGGGACGGAGGUGAGAAAAGGAGCACCGGUUAACGCCGCGCCGGCGGCCGCGGUAAUAUUAGGAACAGCAAACGUCGGAAC
rnacentral:rRNA from 1 species